UGACAGAGUUUCUUUUCUAUUCAAAAUUCAAUGUCCAUUACAGUUCGAUGCCACCAUUGCAUGGCAUAGUCUAAAAACUCUAGGGAAGUUAACUUAACCUUUUGGUCCUUUUCGACCUCAUACACAUUUGUUCUACCUUACCUUCCCAUCUUGAAUACAAGUUAGGGUGACUUUUCCCACUAAAACUAGGUAACUUUACAAAAGGAAAAUAAGGCUUUGGUGGUUGUGGUUGGUGUUGGUGGUGCCUAGUUUCCACAUUUUGCACUCUCCAUUCUUCUUCUUCUUCUUCUUCUUCAUUCCUAUAAUGCAUAUGAUACAUUGUAGUGCAUCUAGGUCCCCGCCUCCUUUCUCUAGCUAGCCUCUCUUGAGUAUCUUCUAGCCUUUGCAUUCUUUUCACUAGUUGCCUUAUUUCCUCUUCUUUGUGGACCAAGCUCGUCUUGGCAUUUGCAAGC
rnacentral:lncRNA from 1 species